UACAGAGGUCUCAACCGUUGUUCGGAUUCAUUGGGCGUAAAGGGUGCGUAGGCGGUCGGGUAAGUCGGAUGUGAAAUCCCAGGGCUCAACCCUGGAACUGCAUUCGAUACUGCCUGGCUAGGGUACUGGAGAGGAGACUGGAAUUUACGGUGUAGCAGUGAAAUGCGUAGAUAUCGUAAGGAAGACCAGUGGCGAAGGCGGAUCUCUGGGCCUUACCUGACGCUCAGGUGCGAAAGCUAGGGGAGCGAACAGG
rnacentral:rRNA from 1 species